rnacentral:rRNA from 1 species
AUUGCCUUAGUAACGGCGAGUGAAGCGGCAAGAGCUCAAAUUUGAAAUCUGACUCCCUUGGGGGUCCGAGUUGUAAUUGGGAGAGGAUGCUUCGGGACCGGUGCCCGUCUAAGUGCCCUGGAACGGGCCGUCAUAGAGGGUGAGAAUCCCGUCUGGGAUGGGUGGCCGGGCCCGUGUGAAGCUCCUUCGACGAGUCGAGUUGUUUGGGAAUGCAGCUCUAAAUGGGUGGUAAAUUUCAUCUAAAGCUAAAUAUGGGCUGGAGACCGAUAGCGCACAAGUAGAGUGAUCGAAAGAUGAAAAGCACUUUGGAAAGAGAGUUCAACAGCACGUGAAAUUGUUGAAAGGGAAGCGCUUGCCACCAGACUCGCGCGGGGGGGUUCAGCCGGCACCUGUGCCGGUGCACUCUCCCCCGUGCGGGCCAGCGUCGGUUGGGACGGCCGGUCAAAGGCCCCCGGAAGGUAUCACCCCUCGGGGUGUCUUAUAGCCGGGGGUGCCAUGCGGCCAGUCUCGACCGAGGAACGCGCUCCGGCUCGGACGCUGGCGUAAUGGUUGUAAGCGGCCCGUCUUGAAACACGGACCAAGGAGUCUAACAUCUAUGCGAGUGUUCGGGUGUCAAACCCGUCCGCGCAGUGAAAGCGAACGGAGGUGGGAACCCUCUCGGGGGUGCACCAUCGACCGAUCCUGAUGUCUUCGGAUGGAUUUGAGUAAGAGCAUAGCUGUUGGGACCCGAAAGAUGGUGAACUAUGCCUGGAUAGGGCGAAGCCAGAGGAAACUCUGGUGGAGGCUCGCAGCGGUUCUGACGUGCAAAUCGAUCGUCAAAUUUGGGUAUAGGGGCGAAAGACUAAU